GUCUUUUAGAAUUUAAUUUAAAGUCUAACCUGCCCAAUGAAAAUUUAAUGGCCGCAGUAAUUUGACUGUGCAAAGGUAGCAUAAUCAUUAGUUUCUUAAUUAGAAACUGGUAUGAAAGGUUGGACGAGAAAAUAACUGUCUCUUUAUUAAUUAUUUAGAAUUUUAUUUUUAAGUUAAAAAGCUUAAAUUUUUUUAAAAGACGAGAAGACCCUAUAGAGUUUUAUUAUUAGGUUAAUUAUUUUUAGUAUAGAAAAUAAUUAAAAUAAUUAAUUCAAUAAUUUGAUUGGGGUGAUUAAAAAAUUUAAUAAACUUUUUUUUAAAUUAGAACAUUAAUUUAUGAAUUUUUGAUCCAUAUAAGUUAUGAUUAUAAGAUUAAAUUACCUUAGGGAUAACAGCGUAAUUUCUUUUUAGAGUUCAAAUCGAUAAAGAAGAUUGCGACCUCGAUGUUGGAUUAAAAUAUAGUUUUGGUGUAGAAGCUAAAAUAUUAGGUCUGUUCGACCUUUAAAAUUUUACA
rnacentral:rRNA from 1 species